CGCGCGCAGCUGGUCGGCCCGCGGCGGUGCUGCGCGGAUCCGGCGUCGGGGCCCGGCAUGGCGGGGGCCGGGGCCAAGCCGGGCCGGACCCGGACCUAAAUGCCUCUGUUCUUCUCCGCGCUGUUGGUCUUGCUGCUAGUUGCGCUUAGCGCCCUCUUUCUAGGCCGGUGGCUUGUGGUCCGGUUGGCCACCAAGUGGUGUCAGCGGAAGCUGCAGGCGGAGCUAAAGAUUGGCUCCUUCCGCUUUUUUUGGAUCCAGAAUGUCAGUCUUAAGUUUCAGCAACACCAGCAAACAGUGGAAAUUGAUAACCUGUGGAUUUCCAGCAAACUCCUUAGCCAUGAUCUUCCACACUAUGUGGCAUUGUGCUUUGGAGAAGUGCGUAUCAGAACGGACCUACAGAAAGUUUCUGGCCUGUCUGCCCCAUUCUCCCAGAGCGCUGGGGUGGAUCAAAAGGAACUGUCCUUCAGCCCAUCGUUAUUGAAGAUCUUCUGCCAACUAUUCUCCAUUCAUGUAGAUGCUAUAAACAUCAUGGUUCUCAAGGUGGAUACCUCUGAGUCCUUAUGGCAUAUUCAGAUCAGUAGAAGCAGAUUUCUUUUGGAUAGUGAUGGGAAAAGGCUAAUCUGUGAGGUGAGCUUAUGUAAGAUCAACAGCAAAGUUCUAAAGAGCGGUCAGCUGGAGGACACCUGCCUAGUGGAGCUUUCACUGGCCCUGGACCUGUGUCUAAAGGUGGGCAUUAGCAGUCGGCAUCUCACUGCUAUCACUGUGGAUGUGUGGACACUCCAUGCUGAACUGCAUGAGGGCCUCUUCCAGAGCCAACUGCUGUGCCAGGGCCCAAGCCUAGCAUCUAAGCCUGUUCCCUGUUCAGAGGUGACAGAAAACUUAGUUGAGCCAACUCUGCCUGGCCUUUUCCUUCUCCAGCAGCUGCCAGACCAGGUCAAGGUUAAGAUGGAGAACACAAGCGUGGUAUUGUCCAUGAAUAGUCAAAAGAGGCACCUGACUUGGACUCUGAAGCUGCUGCAGUUCCUGUACCACCGUGAUGAGGAUCAGCUGCCCCUUCGAAGCUUCACAGCAAACUCUGAUAUGGCACAGAUGAGCACGGAACUGCUGCUGGAAGAUGGGUUGUUGUUGUCCCAGAGUCGCCAACGCAUUGUCUGCCUCAACUCCCUCAAGGCUAGUGUGCAGGUGACCACCAUUGAUCUCUCAGCCUCCCUAGUUCUGAACACUUGCAUCAUUCACUACCGGCACCAGGAAUUCUCUCACUGGCUGCACCUGCUAGCACUGGAAACCCAAGGGUCUAAUUCACCUGUUCUAAAGCAAAGGAAAAAAAGGUCAGUCUGAUCUUUUUCAGCCACCUUCUUGUCAGUUGGAUUCUCUGGGAUUCUUUUGGUCCAAAUUGGCAUCCUGUGUUAAAUAUGUAUUUGGUUGUUUGACCUCCUCAAAUCCGAGUCUCAACAGCAAUCCUGUUUUAUAUAUCUUUCCCAUUAGACUAGACUCCUUGAUAGCAGAAUGCUGUCCUCUUUGUUUUUAUGUCCUCGGUGCUCAGUGUAGUGUUUUAUACAAAAUAAAUGUUUGUUGAACUGAA
rnacentral:sRNA from 1 species